ensembl:lncRNA
GGUUCUUAGAGGCCUUUUCCAACCGGAAUGAUUCUCUGAUUCUAUUUAGGAACAUGGUUAGUGGACAUGAUGGUGAUGGGGUUGAUGGUUGGACGUGGGGAUCCUGUUGGUGCUUUCCAGCCUUAAUGAUUCUAUGAUUCUAAAGGGGUGAGUGGUGCUCAUGGGCUUUGGAAGUGCUGAGUGGCAAUAGAGGAACCAGGCGCCAUGCACCUGCCUGUGUACUGCUGGCUGUUUGCUAGCCUGCUGGGAAGCAGGAGGCUGGAGGUAGGGGCACAUAGGGAAGGUUCACAUGGGUGAGCCAAAUAUAGGGGCUGAGUGCUGAGCCGUGCGGGGUGUAGGAGGCACAGUGGGGAGGCAGAGGUUUGGGAGAGGGAACAUCAGAGGUGCUGAAAUGGGGAAGGUGGGAUCCAGCCAGCAGCAGAGUGAAGGUGGUCAGAGGCAGGCAAAGAAAGUGAUGUCGGCAGCUGCAUUUCGUGCGGCUACUCCUGGAUCCUGCAGCUGUUCAUUAGAAAUUCUGUUUAUGCCACAGGGAGUUUUGGAGUCUCUGAAGCUGACACAGUUUUAAUAGACAAAGACAUUUUGAGUGCAGCACAUCUGCUCUGGGAUGCUAAGGAACAGCCUCCAUACUGCAGUGCCAUUGGUGGAAGCAUUUCAUCAUGCUGCUUUUAUUUUAAGACCUCUCCUCGCUUUUAUCCUAAAAAGUAAUUUUUGAGGUCAAAAGAAGUGCUGUGUCUGCUCAUUAGGUUUGCAGCCAUUUAACAGUCCUGCCUUAUUGCUCCUGAUAUCCCCGAGUUCCCAGCCUUGAGAGUGUGCAGAAUCACCUUCACUCUGAAGGAUCACAAAGCGUUUCAGAGCAGGGGCCCAGCUCAGAGGUGUAGGAGUUUGGUAAGGAAUGUACAGCAUAAUAUGUGGGGAUGGAGAACAUCUCAGUGUGGGUGGGGGAUCACAUUUGUGCUCCUGGUGUGUGGUGGGCUGGUGGUGCCUCUUGAGCUCUGGGCAUGAGCUGGGAGCCACAGGAGUCCAAAUAAUGUCAGAGUGACGUAUGGCAGGAAUUUCAUAAAAAUAGGGAGUUUUGCCAUUAAGGAGUUGUUUUUUUCUUUUUCUCACCAAAACCAAAAGCUUUUCAUUUUCAGAUAUGAAGAAAAGCUUAGAGAGCAGUGGUGAAGCUGCAGGGACAGGGGAGCCCCAGUGGGAACCUCAGCAGAGGCUGCAGGGUGCACUGAUACAGAGCCGCAUUAUUAAAAAGGCGCCAUCAUACCAUUGCUCUCACUGGCAGAGAUCUUACUACAAGGUUAGUCCUGGCAACAUCCCUUUAUUUCAGGUGGGGGGUUCAUGUGGCAUGGCAGUGUCUUCACAGCAGGAAGCUGUGGGAUGCAUUGCUUUCAGCCAGCACUUGGGCACCUAGCACCAGAGGCACUGCUGGGGAUGCACUUUGUGGUGCUGUGAGGUUGUAAGGAUGGGCUGUGCUCUGGGGAGCUCUCAGGUUGAGCAAAGGAAAGGGCAGAAUAUCUUUGGUCCCUUCCAACUCAGGAUAUUCCAUGAAUAGAUCUAUUUUUGUCCCGUAGAUGCACUUAAUCAGUAAUCCUUCUGCCCUGGGAUGGGGACAGGAUGGCUGCUCCCAGCCAGUCCUGCUCUGACGGCAGGUCUUGUUGGCAGUGUCACUUGUCCAGUUCAGUUCCUCUGAAUGUUGCACUUCGGUUCUCAUGUGAUCAAAUCUGCAUGGGUAUAUGUGGUCCCAGGUCUGCCCAUGCAGAAGUUCCACCAGUGUGACAAAGGUAGCUCAAGGAGGAAAGGUUUAGAUUAGAUGUCAGGGGGAAGUUCUUUACUGUGAGAGUGGUGAGG